GCGAGGCCGCGUGCUCUCUCGCGAGACUCGGCGAGUACCGGGCCGUCCGUGGCUUUCUCUGCGGUGGCUUCGGGUACGGUAGACGAAGCUGCUCGCCGGCUUUCGCUCCGGUGGAGUUUCGGAGAGACGGAAGUUUCUUCAGGGCACCCAGACGCCGCGUGGCGAGCUCUCAUCCCGCCUGGUGACGCUGACUGCGGCCUCCGCCAUUUCUAGGCAGCCAGUACUUUGUCACGAGCCCGGUGUCUUUGUAAGCGGUCGCCUGGUAGCUCAUGGCCAGCUGCCAGUCAUCCGCGGGUCACGUAGCUCUCGCUGUCGUGCCAGAGCAGCAGCAUUGCCUACCGAGUGUCACCCCCAAAGGCUGCUCCUCCAGGAAGCGCUGGGACUGUGUCCCAAAAACUUGUUUCUCCUUCCUGCCGGGUCCAACUCUUUUCAAAUGGCUUGUUCCGGGCUCCCAGUUUUCAAGAUGCCACUGGACACUAACAAGUCCCAAGUGCCUCUCUACAGCACUGUCAACUCCAGUUUCUGAACAGCGAUCGUCUGUCUCUCCGUUCGGAUGCCAAACUGACAUCUUAAAACGGUGUCCAAAGCUGUAGCUGUGCUCGGUUGUACUACAGACUCGUCCCUCUAGAGUUGUUCUCUGAGGCCUCAGACCGAAGUUGCCUUCUCAUGCGUCCACAGUGAGCACAUUCUUUCCAUGGUCAGGUUUUACAAACUGACAAUAUCCAAUACUCAAAUCUCCCUUCCACACCUCCUGGCUUCUAGUACAUACACCACACACACAAACAUACCACCCCAUGACUUCUGCCUCCUCCAUUGGUUUUUCUUCCAUUGUGCUGGCUGGUGAUGAAGCUCAGGGCCUCAUGCAUAUUAGGUAAGUGCUCCAAUACAGAGCUAUACCCCCUGCCCUAAUUACAUAGUACAUUUAAUUGCCAAUUUGAUAACUUCUCCAUUACUGCAUCUACCUCCUCUUCCUCCCCAAAUAAACUGCCUUUAUCCAUGGCUCCUAAGGUCA